rnacentral:tRNA from 1 species
GCCCCCAUAGCCCAACCGGCAGAGGCAGCCGCCUUAAAAGCGGCUCAGUACGGGUUCGAAUCCCGUUGGGGGCA